rnacentral:rRNA from 1 species
GACAGAGGGUGCAAACGUUGUUCGGAAUUACUGGGCGUAAAGCGCGUGUUGGCGGCUAAGUAAGUCGGGCGUGAAAUCCCACGGCUCAACCGUGGAAGUGCACUCGAAACUGCAUAGCUAGAGUCCUGGAGAGGAAGGUGGAAUGCUUGGUGUAGAGGUGAAAUUCGUAGAUAUCAAGCGGAACACCGGUGGCGAAGGCGGCCUUCUGGACAGUGACUGACGCUGAGACGCGAAAGCGUGGGGAGCAAACAGG